rnacentral:rRNA from 1 species
AUGAGUCCUAUAUCACAUCGUGUACUUAGUGCUCAGAUUGUCAAAGCAAAGAAGGAUCAACAUCACAACCUCUUCCACAUCAAAGGAGUCGUCAAGGAGCGUUCCAUUCGCAUAAUCAUUGAUGGAGGGAGUUGUAACAAUUUAGCAAGCAUUGACAUGGUGGAGAAGCUCUCCCUACCUUCGCGACAACAUCCACAACCUUACUACAUUCAAUGGUUUAAUGAUGGUGGAAAGGUAAAGGUAACACGCAUGGUGAGAGUUCCUUUUUCUUUAGGUUCAUACCAUGAUACUAUUGAUUGCGAUAUUGUGCCUAUGCAAGCUUGUUCUAUGUUACUAGGAAGGCCAUGGCAGUAUGAUAAACAAUGUUCACAUGAUAGUAGAACUAAUCAGUACACUCUCACACAUAAAGGAAAGAAAAUCAUUCUACACCCUAUGUCUCCUGAGCAAAUUUUAAAAGAUGAUCUUGCUAGGGCUAGUAGAAACACAAAUACUGCGCGUACUAAAUCUGAAAAUCAGAAAGUUGUUGAUGAGUUAGAACAAUUUAAUAAGAUGCACAAAUCUGAUCCUAGCACAUCUAAAGAAAUUAAAUUGAAAGGUGCUUCUUUCUUAGCUACACGUGCUGAAAUUUUUGAGUUAGAUGCUCAUACUGAUGAAUGUUAUGCUCUUAUUUGCAAAGAAGUUUUGUUUUCAUUUGAGGAUAUGCCUUCUUCUUUGCCUCCUGUUGUCGCUAACCUUUUGCAGGAGUAUCAUGAUGUUUUCCCAAAGGAAGUACCACCGGGGCUGGCACCUAUGAGAGGAAUUGAACAUCAAAUUGACUUGAUACCUGGCGCCUCAUUACCCAACCGUGCGCUGUACCAGACUAAUCCUGAGGAGACUAAGGAGAUUCAGCGACAAGUUCAAGAACUACUCGAAAAAGGUUACAUUCGGGAAUCCCUUAGUCCAUGUGCUGUACCAAUUUUACUUGUUCCUAAAAAAGACGGUACUUCACGUAUGUGUGUUGAUUGUAGAGCCAUAAAUAAUAUAACAAUUCGAUAUUGUCAUCCUAUUCCUAGAUUAGAUGACAUGCUUGAUGAACUCAGUGGCUCAGUUGUGUUUUCUAAAGUGGACUUGCGUAGUGGCUACCAUCAAAUUCGUAUGAAACUAGGUGAUGAAUGGAAAAAUGCUUUCAAAACUAAAUUUGGUUUAUAUGAGUGGUUAGUUAUGCCUUUUGGAUUGACUAAUGCACCUAGUACUUUCAUGAGACUAAUGAAUGAAGUCUUGCGAGCUUUCAUUGGACGAUUUGUGGUAGUAUACUUCGAUGAUAUUCUGAUUUAUAGUAAGUCACUAGAGGAACACUUGGACCAUUUGCAUGCUGUUUUUUUGCUCUACGUGAUGCACGUUUAUUUGGUAACAUCGAGAAGUGCACUUUUUGCACGGAUCGAGUCGCUUUUCUUGGCUAUGUUGUGA